AUUUUUUAUUGUUGUAAAGACAUUUUAAAACGUAAAAUGUGAGGUUUCUGCCCAUGUAUAAAUUUAUUUAAUUCUGUAUUUAUUACUGAAAAUCCUCUGCACACAAAAGAAUGUUUCCCUGAAAUCAAAAGCAGAAACCUGGAGCUGAACUUGAGGAGAAGCAGCAAGGAGAAGGUUUGAGGAGGUGAUGAAGGUUUGAGAAGGUUUGAGGAGGUGAUGAAGGUUUGAAAAGGUUUGAGGAGGUGAUGAAGGUUUGAGGAGGUGAUGAUGGUUUAAGGAGGUGAUGAAGGUUUGAGAAGGUUUGAGGAGGUGAUGAAGGUUUGAGGAGGUGAUGAAGGUUUGAGACGGUGAGGAGAAUGAGGAACGCUGUGAAAUACUGCAUGAAAUAAAAAAGUAGAUGAUUUAAAUUUA